GUAGGGAAUCUUCCACAAUGGACGCAAGUCUGAUGGAGCAACGCCGCGUGAGUGAAGAAGGCUUUCGGGUCGUAAAACUCUGUUGUUGAAGAAGAACACGUUUGAGAGUAACUGUUCAGACGUUGACGGUAUUCAACCAGAAAGCCACGGCUAACUACGUGCCAGCAGCCGCGGUAAUACGUAGGUGGCAAGCGUUAUCCGGAUUUAUUGGGCGUAAAGCGAGCGCAGGCGGUUUUUUAAGUCUGAUGUGAAAGCCCUCGGCUUAACCGAGGAAGUGCAUCGGAAACUGGGAAACUUGAAUGCUGAAGAGGACAGUGGAACUCCAUGUGUAGCGGUGAAAUGCGUAGAUAUAUGGAAGAACACCAGUGGCGAAGGCGGCUGUCUGGUCAGUUAUUGACGCUGAGGCUCGAAAGCAUGGGUAGCGAACAGGAUUAGAUACCCUUGUAGUCC
rnacentral:rRNA from 1 species